AUGGUGUCGUCCGCUGGGGGAGCGCCGUGGAGCCGGCUGAAGGGGCAGGUUGUGCUGGUGACGGGCGCCUCCUCCGGUCUCGGCCGCGAUUUCUGCCUCGACCUGGCGCGUGCCGGCUGCCGGGUCGUCGCCGUCGUGCGCCGCGCUGACCGCCUCCGCUCCCUCUGCGAUGAGAUCAACGCUUCCCCGGCCGCGGAUGCCAGCCAGCCAUUGGCGGUGGCCAUCGAACUCGACGUUGCCGCCGGAGGGUCCACUGUCGAGGCGGCGGUGCAGAGGGCCUGGGACGCCUUCGGCCGCAUUGACGUCUUGAUUAACAACGCUGGCCUCCGAGGAGGAAUACAUUCGUCACUGGAUUGGCCCGAGGAUGACUGGGAUAAACUCCACAAGACAAACCUUACCGGAUCGUGGCUCGUCGCCAAGCAUGUAUGUAGGCACAUGCGUGAUGCCAAGAUAAAAGGUUCAGUCAUCAACAUUUCGUCCGUUGCCGGUCUUCACCGUGGCGAUGUGCAUGGCAGCACCGGUUACGCAUCUUCCAAGGCGGCCGUGCAUGCUGUCACCAAGGUGAUGGCCUUGGAGUUAAGACCGUAUGGAAUUAGAGUGAACUCAAUUGCGCCUGGAAUCUUCCAGUCGGAGAUAACUGCUGCUCUAUUGCAAAAGAGAUGGUGGAACACCGUUACUUCAAAGAUCGUGCCACUUAAAACAUAUGGCACUACUGAUCCGGCACUGACAUCGCUAGUUCGUUUUCUAAUCCAUGAAACGUCAUUGUAUCUAACUGGCAACAUCUUCAUCGUAGACGCAGGCCUAACCCUACCUGGUGUUCCAUUAUUCUCUUCUCUGUAA
rnacentral:rRNA from 1 species